UAUGCGGCAGACACACGGCGGGUGCUAACGUCCGUCGUGGAGAGGGAAACAACCCUGACCUACAGCUAAGGCCCCUAAUUCAUGGCUAAGUGGGAAAGCAGGUGGGACGACCAAAACAACCAGGAGGUUGGCUUAGAAGCAGCCAUCCUUUAAAGAUAGCGUAACAGCUCACUGGUCUAAAUAAGUUGUCCUGCGGCGAAGAUGUAACGGGGCUCAAGCCAUGAGCCGAAGCUUAGGAUGCGAGCAAUCGCAUGGUAGCGGAGCGUUCUGUUCAGUCCUUCUUGCGUCUUGUGUCCCCCCAGGGGGACAACGGACGCAUCAGAAGGCUGCUGUGAAGCCGGCGCGUGAGCGACCGGUGGAGCGUUCAGAAGUGAGAAUGUUGACAUGAGUAGCGACAAACAGGGUGAGAGACCCUGUCGCCGAAAGUCCAAGGGUUCCUGCUUAAAGCUAAUCUGAGCAGGGUAAGCCGGCCCCUAAGGCGAGGCCGAAAGGCGUAGUCGAUGGGAACCUGGUUAAUAUUCCAGGGCCAGUGGGAAGUGACGGAUCUCGAAGAUUGUUCGCCCUUAUCGGAUUGGGCGGGCCGUUCAGAGGUUCCCGGAAAUAGCCCCACAUCAGACCGUACCCGAAACCGACACAGGUGGACUGGUAGAGAAUACCAAGGCGCUUGAGAGAACCAUGUUUAAGGAACUCGGCAAAAUACCUCCGUAAGUUCGCGAGAAGGAGGCCCCGUCAGGACGCAAGUCUUGGCGGGGGGCACAGACCAGGGGGUGGCGACUGUUUAUUAAAAACACAGGGCUCUGCGAAGUCGCAAGACGACGUAUAGGGUCUGACGCCUGCCCGGUGCCGGAAGGUUAAAAGGAGGAGUGCAAGCUCCGAAUUGAAGCCCCGGUAAACGGCGGCCGUAACUAUAACGGUCCUAAGGUAGCGAAAUUCCUUGUCGGGUAAGUUCCGACCUGCACGAAUGGCGUAACGACUUCCCCGCUGUCUCAAACAUGGACUCAGCGAAAUUGAAUUGCCUGUCAAGAUGCAGGCUUCCCGCGGUUAGACGGAAAGACCCCGUGCACCUUUACUACAGCUUCACACUGGCAUCAGGAUUGCGAUGUGCAGGAUAGGUGGUAGGCUUUGAAGUGGGAACGCCAGUUCCCAUGGAGCCAGCCUUGAGAUACCACCCUUCGCACUCUUGAUGUCUAACCGCGGUCCGUUAUCCGGAUCCGGGACCCUGUGUGGCGGGUAGUUUGACUGGGGCGGUCGCCUCCCAAACAGUAACGGAGGCGUGCGAAGGUUGGCUCAGAGCGGUCGGAAAUCGCUCGUUGAGUGCAAUGGCAGAAGCCAGCCUGACUGCAAGACUGACAAGUCGAGCAGAGACGAAAGUCGGCCAUAGUGAUCCGGUGGUCCCGAGUGGAAGGGCCAUCGCUCAACGGAUAAAAGGUACGCCGGGGAUAACAGGCUGAUGAUGCCCAAGAGUCCAUAUCGACGGCAUCGUUUGGCACCUCGAUGUCGGCUCAUCUCAUCCUGGGGCUGGAGUAGGUCCCAAGGGUAUGGCUGUUCGCCAUUUAAAGAGGUACGUGAGCUGGGUUUAGAACGUCGUGAGACAGUUCGGUCCCUAUCUGCCGUGGGUGUUGGAGACUUGAGAGGAGUUGCCCCUAGUACGAGAGGACCGGGGUGAACGAUCCACUGGUGGACCUGUUGUGGCGCCAGCCGCAGUGCAGGGUAGCUAUGAUCGGACAGGAUAACCGCUGAAAGCAUCUAAGCGGGAAGCCCCCCUCAAAACAAGGUCUCCCUUGAGAGCCGUGGUAGACCACCACGUCGAUAGGCCGGAGAUGUAAGCGCAGCAAUGCGUUCAGUUGACCGGUACUAAUGGCUCGAUAGGCUUGAUUU
rnacentral:rRNA from 1 species